GACGAACGCUGGCGGCGUGCCUAAUACAUGCAAGUUGAGCGCUGAAGGUUGGUACUUGUACCGACUGGAUGAGCAGCGAACGGGUGAGUAACGCGUGGGGAAUCUGCCUUUGAGCGGGGGACAACAUUUGGAAACGAAUGCUAAUUCCGCAUAAAAACUUUAAACACAAGUUUUAAGUUUGAAAGAUGCAAUUGCAUCACUCAAAGAUGAUCCCGCGUUGUAUUAGCUAGUUGGUGAGGUAAAGGCUCACCAAGGCGAUGAUACAUAGCCGACCUGAGAGGGUGAUCGGCCACAUUGGGACUGAGACACGGCCCAAACUCCUACGGGAGGCAGCAGUAGGGAAUCUUCGGCAAUGGACGAAAGUCUGACCGAGCAACGCCGCGUGAGUGAAGAAGGUUUUCGGAUCGUAAAACUCUGUUGGUAGAGAAGAACGUUGGUGAGAGUGGAAAGCUCAUCAAGUGACGGUAACUACCCAGAAAGGGACGGCUAACUACGUG
rnacentral:rRNA from 1 species